rnacentral:rRNA from 1 species
GUUAGACGGGGCCGCACGAAGCGGUGGAGUAUGUGGUUUAAUUCGACGCAACGCGCAGAACCUUACUGGUCUUGACAUCCCGGGAAUUCCUUGAAAGAGGGAAGUGCCUCGCAAGAGGAGCCUGGAGACAGGUGCUGCAUGGCUGUCGUCAGCUCGUGUCGUGAGAUGUUGGGUUAAGUCCCGCAACGAGCGCAACCCUUGUCUUUAGUUGCCAUCAUUCAGUUGGGCACUCUAAGAGACUGCCGGUGUCAAACCGGAGGAAGGUGGGGAUGACGUCAAGUCCUCAUGGCCCUUAUGGGUAGGGCUUCACACGUCAUACAAUGGUCGGUACAGAGGGUUGCCAAGCCGCGAGGCGGAGCCAAUCCCACAAAGCCGAUCGUAGUCCGGAUUGUUCUCUGCAACUCGAGAGCAUGAAGUCGGAAUCGCUAGUAAUCGCAGGUCAGCAUACUGCGGUGAAUACGUUCCCGGGUCUU